UAGUGCAGGCCAUGCAGUAGCAGCCGCAGCAGCCACAGGCAUCAGUGCAGCUGAAAAGAGCAUCGUCGGAGUUUCAGAAUCCGGCGACCGGACGGGCCACUUGGGCCAGUCGCCCUAUCUUCCCCGAAAAGGAGAAACAGAAGUCGGAGAGCCCUCCGUCCGAUCAUGAUUCCACCCCCGAAGGGUCCCUACCUCCGUUCCACCAGAAGACCCUCGAGACUCACAGUCGAGAGGACCUCCU
rnacentral:lncRNA from 1 species